UAGAUAUCGGGAAGAACACCAGUGGGCGAAGGCGCUCUGCUGGGGCCAUCACUGACGCUCAUGGACGAAAGCCAGGGGAGCGAAAGGGAUUAGAUACCCCUGUAGUCCUGGCCGUAAACGAUGAACACUAGGUGUCGGGGGAAUCGACCCCCUCGGUGUCGUAGCCAACGCGUUAAGUGUUCCGCCUGGGGAGUACGCACGCAAGUGUGAAACUCAAAGGAAUUGACGGGGGCCCGCACAAGCGGUGGAGUAUGUGGUUUAAUUCGAUGCAACGCGAAGAACCUUACCAGGGUUUGACAUCCUGCGAAUCUCUUGGAAACAGGAGAGUGCCUUCGGGAACGCAGUGACAGGUGGUGCAUGGCUGUCGUCAGCUCGUGUCGUGAGAUGUUGGGUUAAGCCCCGCAACGAGCGCAACCCACGUCUUUAGUUGCCAGCAUUUAGUUGGGCACUCUAGAGAGACUGCCGGUGAUAAACCGGAGGAAGGUGUGGAUGACGUCAAGUCAUCAUGCCCCUUACAUCCUGGGCUACACACGUACUACAAUGCUACGGACAAAGGGCAGCAAGUUCGCGAGGACAAGCAAAUCCCAUAAACCGUGGCUCAGUUCAGAUCGUAGGCUGCAACUCGCCUACGUGAAGGCGGAAUCGCUAGUAAUCGCAGGUCAGCAUACUGCGGUGAAUACGUUCCCGGGCCUUGUACACACCGCCCGUCACACCAUGGAAGUUGGCCACGCCCGAAGCCGUUACUCCAACCCUUGU
rnacentral:rRNA from 1 species